UGUAGGAGCCGGCUUGCUGGCGAAGGCAUCGCCUCGGUCUGUCAGAUACACCGCGGUGAUGCCAUCGCCAGCAAGCCGGCUCCUGCA
rnacentral:misc_RNA from 1 species